rnacentral:rRNA from 1 species
UACGUAGGGGGCAAGCGUUGUCCGGAAUUAUUGGGCGUAAAGAGCGUGUAGGCGGUCCGGUAAGUCGGUUGUGAAAGUCCAGGGCUCAACCCUGGGAUGCCGAUCGAUACUGCCGGACUAGAGUCCGGAAGAGGCGAGUGGAAUUCCCGGUGUAGCGGUGAAAUGCGCAGAUAUCGGGAGGAACACCAAUGGCGAAGGCAGCUCGCUGGGACGGUACUGACGCUGAGACGCGAAAGCAUGGGGAGCAAACAGG